rnacentral:lncRNA from 1 species
UCGUUUAAGUAGCAGUAUGUUGUUUUUUUUUUUAUAUGAUAAAAUUUUAACUUAAGUUUACUUUCUUUUUGGAACUACCAAUAUUUAUUUAUCGGAUAUUUCAUCUUAUCUUACUAUUAAAGAUUAAUAAUUAUUUUUUUAAUUAAUUGAGUUACUAUGAUAGAAUAUGAUUUUACAUAAUGAUACAAAAUAUUGCAUAAUUAUUUUUUUAAACUAUUCAAUAUAUUGUUUAUUAAUGAUUACCAUCAAAUUUAUAUUAUUAUUUUAAAUUAAUUAAAUAUUUUUAAAUUUCAACCCGCCG